rnacentral:lncRNA from 1 species
GACUCGCACACUGAUUUCCUUUCUCUGGUUACGCUCCUGUCUGCUUCCGUGUUCCCGCUUUCAAAAAUAUCCAGCGCCGUGGCAAAUCGCUCUCAGAAUAUAAAUUUGCUGCCCGCUCUAAAACUUUUCAGUUCCUCGCUGUUUUUAAAAGCCUCGAACGGAGCAGUCAGUCUUGCACCGCGUUCUUUGCGGCGAGAGAAGCCGUUUCAGAGAAGGGCAGCCCGUCUCCAUGGCGACGCUGCAAGAAAACAACAGAAGGGAGGCCAGCGGAAAAACCCCCGGUCGGUCAGUCAGUCGGUCGUCAAGCCAACCAACCUCGCCGAAGCACCGGUGUUUGUUCCGAGCCUCAGAGAGAGCCAUUCGCCCUAAAUACUAAGAAAUACGUAAUUUUUAACACCGAGUUCGGAGGGAAAGAGGAAGCCGAGAAACGUUUACUGGUUUUAUGACUUGAAGGUUCUCCAGCUGCGGCCCGUUGAGUGAGGCUGGCCAGAGACGGAUCAACAAGACAAGAGCAACCAGGCGUCUAUGAACACGUGCAUCGUGCCUGGAACACGCGGGAGCUCCCAGCGAUGAGAACCCAAAGAGGUGGUUCGAACUUGGGUCUAAAUAACAACAAAGGAAAGGGGUUUGGGGCUUCUGGGCGCGGGAGGCGAGUUAUGGGAAGGCGACCAGGAAAGUAUGGUGGACGAGCGUAAUUAGUAGGGUUUGUGACGCCGACUCCGGCCCCUGCGUUCUCCAUGGACAAGAGUUGUGAAGAGGCCGCUCUUUCCAGGUGUCUCGACAGAUGGACAUUUCUCCUCCGGAAAAGUGAAUUUCCUGUACAGAAAGGACCCUUCUGCCCCGUCCUUGGAGCGUUUCCUGCAUCUGCUGGUUCUCAGUGGCCGUUAGCUGAAAAUAAUCCAUAGACAGAAGAGGCCUAUGCCAGGGUGGCUUGUUCCGGUCCCUUCAGUGGGACCAAAGCAUGUCGGACACAAUCCGAAGGUGUCGCCCUGUCUCAGGUGAUGGGGAGCAAAGGUCAGCCAAGGGGUCAGGGGGUCAGAGGUGAGCGUAUUAGGACAGAAGAGGGAGUGCUGGGGAUGCAGAAUGAAGAAGGGAGACAGAGACAAGGGAACGGGGAGGGGGAAGUGGUGGACACGUGCAGGGUUAUGAGUGGCAUGCUGCACCCUUCAUGGACAACCAUGCAGAUCCCGUGUUUCGGAACGCUCAGCUUGUCAGUAGGGGAUCCAAUGGGUUGAAACCCAUGGUGGCCAACCUUUAUUGAGUUCAGGAACCACCAGCGGAGCUUGUUCAAAGGCAGACCCUGAUGGCUGUCAUCUGGGAGGUGGGGCCGGGGAUUCGGCAUCUCCAGUGAGCAGCCAGGGGAUGCGGAUGCUGCUGGUCCAUGGGGACCACGCCUCGGGUAGCAAGGUUGGGAAGAUGGAGCCCAGGAGCCCAGGUGAUGAGGGUCUCAGCCUGGUCAGGAACAGGGAGGGGGGAGGGGGUGUGAAAAUGUUAACGAUGGCACAGUUACCUGCCUGGAGUAGUCAGCGAUGGCUUCUGCCAUCCUCAUUUUCCUGUUUUCGAGGGAACCACCACUGACUGGUCUUCCCUCCUGUUGGGUGACCUGCGCCUGCUGCGUUCGCGUCAAGGCAGAAUUGCAAACGGAAAGAAAAAAGGUCGUCCUGUCAUCACUUUAAAUAAACAAAAUCUGAAAUCCCCCCCCCCCCACCUCCUUGAAUUUGCAAGAAUUUGCUCUCAGGGAGCGUAACGGAUGUGUGCCAUUCUCCUUGCAUUAUAUCCGUUACAAAGACGGAUACAAAGUAUGAAGGAUGCACGAUUUUUAUGCAAUUACCGAGUGCAAGUGUCUUCCAGAUGCCGAAUGACUCAUCCUGGCUUGACUGCAUGUGUUUUUUUGAUCUAAUCUGUGGUUAGAAAACAAAGACAUAUAUGGGCGUGGUUUUCAUUUCCACUGAGUGGAAGUCCCCUUUGCUUAUAUGAAUUUUUAAAGUCGUCAACUGGUUGAAACAGAUUCGCCUGUCCCAGGAGACCCGAGGAGCCUCCCAUUUGAACUGAAAUAGUGAAAAAGAGAUUGUACGGCCCAGUCAUGAGUGGGAGUUUGGCUCCAUGAUGCUUUUACAAAUCCUGAUGACUUUAGGGCCAUCAUGAAGACGUUCAUUGAGUACUCCAGGCAAGGUCACUCUGCCAUCGGCUUCCAACUUCUUGAGGUUGUCGGGGGAAUUCACUUCCUUGCGGGUGCAGGACCGAGGGUGCAGCUUCUGGCUGGAACUAGCCCUCAGCUCCUGGGGGUCACCCGUUAUUCUGUGUCGUGUGGGUUCCUGCAACACGGCCUCUUGCCUCACGGGAGCUGCCUCGUCCAAGCCAGCGACCCAGAGGGAGAGGAAGACCGGAGGGCGUCUGCUAACCAAACUGAGUCCUACGUAGUGAGGUCACGGAGGUGACACCCCACCACCUUUGCCAUAAGCUGUCGGUGAGAAGCAAAUCUCAGCUCCUGCCCAUCUCCCGGGCGAGGGGAUCCUAUAAGAGUCUGAACGCUUCUGAUGCUUGUGCCCCGCACCAGAACGUUUGCGCGAUUCCUCGAGGGUCCAAGGUUCUUUGAACAAAUUCCUUGUCCUUUUGCACAACGAUUCAGAAGGCUAUUCCGUCGCCUGCCACUCGGAAACUUGAUUGACAGACGGCAGACCAACCGUGCAGCAGAAGGACCCAGAACGAGCGUGCCGUGCCUUCCUCGUUCCUGCCCCUGACUCUCGCGUGUCUCCCCACCCGCCCGCACCGAAGGCACCGUGAUGGGAAAGAGAAACAGGUGGGUGCAGAGACGUUAUCACUAACAGCACAGACUCACAAUUGCUUUCGGGGAAAGACGAUUAGAAGGCGUCUGAUCCUCCUCGGACCGGUCUCCCGCGGCUGCCACCACAACGUCCCAUAGACUGCGGGUCUUAAGGCAACAGCAAUGGAUUUGCUCAAGCUUCUAGAGACUGGAAGUCUGAAACCAGGGGGUCAGCAGGGCUGAUUCCUUCUGGAGAGUCUUGGGGAGCGUCCGUUCCAGGCCGCAGCCCUGACUUUAUUCACGUGACCUCAGACGCCACCCACGUCAUCUUGGAAAACCUCCUGCCCAUCGUCUUCCACCCCCGUCACCUUCUCUAGCCAUCGUCCUCCGUAUUCGUCAAGGUUCUCCGGAGAAUCAGAGCCCAUAGGAUACCUAGAGAUAGGUGCAAGAGGAGGUGUAUUCUAGGGAUUGCCUCAUGGGGUGAUGGAGGCUGCGAAGUGCCACCCAUCGAGCUGGAGACCCAGGAGAGCGGGUGGCGGACUCGGUCCAAGACCAAAGAUGGGAGAACCGGCAGCUGCGAAGGCCGAGGGCAGAAGACGGACGUCUCAGCUCAAACAGAGAGCGACUUCCUCUUUCCUCCACCUUUCUUUUUCUACUCUAGCGCUCAACGGGUGGCAUGGGGCCCAUCCACGCUGGGGAGGGCCAGCGGCUUAACUCAGCCCAUGGAUUCACCAUCAGGGGACCACUAUGUCCCGUCCCACCCCCCGUCCCCCCCAGAUUCACAGGCAGCCCAGGCCCAGCCAAGCCGUCAUCCGGGUCUCUCGUCACUGAGGUUUGGCCUCAUUCUUUUGGCCUCCGGCUCUCUCGAAAAGUCAGUCAACAACCUUCCAUUCCCAAAGUGGCCUCGGAUAUAAAAUUAAAGGCACAUGAACACGCUCGCCGGCCGGCCUUUGUUUUUUUUUUUCAGUUCGUUCCACUAACAAUGAAAUCUUUCUUCCUCGUCAUCAUUUCCACUCAGUGGCGUUGAAACAGGAAAGAAUUACGGUUCGAGCUGCAAAAAAAGUUUCCUUUGACUUUUGG